UACGGAGGGUGCAAGCGUUGUCCGGAAUCACUGGGCGUAAAGCGCGCGCAGGCGGCUGGAGAAGUCCAUGGGUGAAAGGCCGGGGCUCAACCCCGAGUGUGCCCAGGAUACUCUCUGGCUGGAGACACGUAGAGGCAAGCGGAAUUUCGGGUGUAGCGGUGGAAUGCGUAGAUAUCAGGAGGAACACCAAUGGCGAAGGCAGCUCGCUGGGACGGUACUGACGCUGAGACGCGAAAGCGUGGGGAGCAAACAGG
rnacentral:rRNA from 1 species